CCCGCGCUAUCUAGCCGCCGGGUCUCACCUCGCCUGGUCUCUUCGGCCGGCAUGGAGGGGGUCCCGGUCGUGAUAACCUGUAACGCGGGCCCUGCCAAGGCCGAGGGAGCCGCAGCCAUGCCGCCCCCGCCUCCCGCCUCCCCGCCUGCCCUCACUCCUGUGCCCGCAGCGGGUGAGGGGGGGCCCCCGCCUUUGCCCGAGGCGGGGGCUCCGGGCUGUUCGGGUUCUCGGCCCCCUGAGCUGGAGCCGGAGCGCAGCCUGGGCCGCUUGAGGGGCCCCUUCGAGGACGAGGACGAGGAGCUGGAGGAGGAUGAGGAGCUGGAAGAGGACGAGGAGGAGGAGGAGGAGGAGAUGAGCCACUUCUCGCUGAGGCUGGAGGGGGGCCGGCCGGACUCUGAGGACGAGGAGGAGCGCCUGAUUAAUCUCUCUGAGCUGACCCCGUACAUCUUGUGUUCCAUUUGCAAAGGUUACUUAAUAGAUGCAACUACCAUUACAGAAUGUCUUCAUACGUUUUGUAAAAGCUGCAUUGUAAGACAUUUUUACUAUAGCAACAGAUGUCCAAAAUGCAACAUAGUAGUACAUCAGACACAACCUCUCUAUAACAUAAGGUUGGACCGACAAUUACAAGACAUAGUGUACAAAUUAGUGAUCAAUCUAGAGGAAAGAGAAAAAAAGCAAAUGCAUGAUUUCUAUAAAGAAAGAGGUCUAGAAGUACCUAAACCUGCUGUUCCACAGCCAGUCUCUUCGAACAAAGGAAGAUCUAAGAAAGCCUUAGAAUCAGUGUUUCGUAUUCCACCUGAGCUUGAUACAUCUUUAUUACUAGAGUUCAUUGGUGCUAAUGAAGGCACGGGACAUUUUAAGCCAUUGGAAAAGAAGUUUGUCCGAGUGUCAGGAGAAGCAACUAUUGGGCAUGUAGAAAAAUUCCUCAGAAGAAAGAUGGAUCUUGAUCCCGCUUGUCAGGUAGAUAUCAUCUGUGGCGACCACUUGUUGGAACGAUAUCAAACUCUGAGGGAAAUUCGGCGUGCAAUAGGUGAUGCAGCGAUGCAGUACUGCAGUAGAGCUUGAAGACUGCUGGGCAAGUAUAUCCGCAAGGACAUUUCUUUAAGAAAAAUUUGCAGAUACUCAUUAGGCUUUAGAGACUUACAUACCAUUUCUUGCUCAAUAGGAUGGUCUUCUGGUCCUUCAUUAUGGUCUUGUGGUUUCUCCUCUGAAAAUUACUUGAGGAUUCCAGGAGUGUUAGGAGGGGGGAAACAAAAUAAGGAGGCUUCUUCAGGAUCGCGUCUCACCAAAGGUUUUCACCAAACAUGUGAUUGCUACCACUUUGUGCUGUUUGAGACAUAGUUUAUCUGUUUUCAGCACCAAGAAUCAUAGCAUUUAUAAGUACCACUUGGAAUGAUGGAAUGCAUUGUGUUUUCCUAGAGACUAUAUAUAAAGCAUCCAUAGCUCAGGGGAAAAUUUCAAAGCAGCGAAUUGUUAAAUUCCUUUGAUUUCAAAUACUUUGACAUUGAUUUUGCUUCCUAAUCUUUGAGGUCAGCCGGUUACUCCUUUCUUUGUUGAGCCAUAAUCCUUUCGUGUUGGUGAUUGGGAUUUUGCUCUUUGGAAUGGUGUCAGCUGGGCAGUCACCUUCUUGGGAAAGAAGUGUGCUUUUGAACUGAAGAUUCAGAGCCAGUUUUUGUUAAAUUAGAGUGUACCUCUCAGACAAAGACCAAAACUAUUGGCCACUUUUAUAUGUUGCCAUCAUAUUUUGAACUUGUAUCCUUUUUUUUUUUUUUUUUACCAGCAGACACUACUAAAAAGAUGUUAUUCACUUCUAAAAGGGUUGAAUUGUCAUUGUUGUGUUUGAAGAGACUGUCUUCUGUAGCGUUUAUGGCCCGUACCAUAAGCCUUUAAUAAAGACUCCUUUAACAUAUCUUACCACAAGGGGUGCCUCUUUGCAACAAUAUUUUUGUCCUUUGAAUGUUAAUUUGAUUGACAGUCAUUUUAUUUGAGUAUAUAACAUGAUUGUCAAUACCUUAUAAUGGCACUGCUUCUGAAAGUAAUAAAAAAAUUUGAAUGUGAGACAUUUACAGAAUACUUAUUCAUUAUUUCAUAAGUGAGUUUAAUUUUCAUUUUCCCAUUACUUUGUCACUGGGAUAAAGAAUAUGGGUAUUUGAGAGUUCAUUCAUUUGCAUGCAAAGAUUUUGGUUUUAAACUAUUUUACCUAAAAUUAGCAUUGUGAGCUUUCCAAAAGAAAUAUUUUGUAGACCCUAUUUCACUGCAAAAUCUCCAAGUCUUCAUAGGAACAAUUACAGUUGGAUAAGGAUAGGCAGUUGUUUUAUAAAGAAUUUGUGAACUGUGUAUAAAUUUCUUCUAACAUUUAAUAAAAAUUUUUAA